ACUCCUAUUCAACUUCACCCACAGCGAAUUAAAAGGCUUUCAGACAAACAACAGUGAUGGCACAGGAACAGCAGCCUAUCGGAUGCUGAGGAGUGGUGGGGUGGCAGAUAGGUAAGGCAAGGCAACUUCUCAAGUGUCAUCAAAGUUUAAGUGAAACAAAACAUACUGGAGGCACUGUUUCAUGAACAUUCAAAUCAAUUACAUUCAAUGAAAUCUAAUUAUUGUGCACUGCUAUUUGUAUUCUAAGUGAUUUCUUGAGGCGAAAAGAACAGAACCUUCUCAAUUAGAAAAGAGCUAACAAAUAUUUUAUUAAACACCGAAUGAGAAUUGCACUGUGGUAGGCCACAAAGUUCCAAAGAACAAAUAAGAUGGCUUAGGGUUUUGAGAAACUUGGAUACUAUGAGCUGCCAAUGAAAGAGAAGGUUGGCAUCCCUACCCUGUCAUUGGGAAACUUGAGUACACUGCAGUCCUCUUAUUAAGACAUUUCUGAGAAGAAAAAAAAUAAAAUGUAGGUGUUCUGAGGUGCUGUAGAGAUGGAAAAUAAAAUGCUCAGAUGCCUCCAUUCCCUUCUGUGCCUACAGUAGACGUGGGGUUUCAAACAAGACUUUUUUUCUUGCUUUUCCAGAACUCUUUCCAUUUCGUAAAUUCAGCACUGUCAGUUCUAUGGAGGCAUUAGCUGCAUCCAGACAACUUCAUUCCUGGAAAUAUGUACUAACAACUCCCUUUGUUGGCUUUAAUAUGGUAAAACUCCAUCUCUACAAAAACAACGACAACAACAACAAAAUUAGCCAGGCAUGGUGAUGUAGUCCCAACUACUUGGGAGGCUGAAGUGGGAGGAUUGCUUGAGCCGAGGAGGUCAAGACAGCAGUGAGCCAUGAUAACGCCAGUGCACUCCAGCCUGGGCCACAAAGUGAGAGACCUCUUCCAAAAAAAAAAAAAAUUGUUUUCUUAUUAUUGACGUCUUAUUAUAGACACAAGUCUUAUCAAAUAUGUGUUUUGUAAAUAUUUCCUCCCUUCUAUGGCUCGUGUUUUCAUUUUCAUUUUUGUAAUAUUGUCUUUUGAAUAGUAGAAAUUUUUAAUUUCAAUAAAGUAGAAUUUACAAACAUUUUCUUUUAAAGGUUAUGCUUUCAAUGUCAUAUCUAAGAAAUCCUAGCCAAAGGUUACAAAUAAUUUCUCCUGUAUUUUUAUAAAAGUCUUAUAAUUUUAAGUUUUAUGUUUAGUUCUAUGAUGCAUUUGAGUAAAUUUUUGUAUAUUUUUCUUUAAUUUCCUUUAAUUUAUAGUAGUCUCCUUGGUUUUUAGUUUUGCUUUUUAUGAUAUUGACUUUUUUUUAGAAGUGAACAGACCACUUGUCUUGUAUAAUAUCCAACAAGUUGGAUGUGUCUAACUGGUUUCUCAUGCUUAGGUUCAGGUUAAACAUUUCUGGCAAGAUUAAUUUACAGAAGUUUUGUACUCAAUGCACAACAACAAAGGACAUUAAAAAGAACUCACACUGAUAUUUUUAAUUCAAAUUUGAUAUUACAUGGUUUCUUCUUUAGCUAUUCAAAUGUUAUAUUUAUAUUUCUUUAUCUCUCACAGUGAAACCCUUGGUUCCUCUUAGUAAUAUACUUAUUUCACAUACUAUAAAUCAAACAGUUUCAGAAUUAAAACAAUAUUACAGCCUGCAAUAAACUGUUAUGUACAGCUUAAUAUUUCUUUACAGUUCUUUUUUCUUUUAUAAUGGACCCUAUUAAGAUAAAACAAAUGUUUUCAAAAGUAUGUGAAUUAAUUCCUCUCCUUGCAUAGCUAUAUUUAAUAUUCAAUUUAAUAUGAAUAUUCAAUUUAAUGAAUUUAAUAUUCAGUUUAAUAUUCAAUUUAAUGAAUUUAAUAUUCAAUUUAAUAUUCAAUUUAAUAUGAAUUUAUAUUCAAUUUAAUAUGAAGUCAGAUUCAUUUUUUAUCUUCAUAUUCAAUUUUAGAGUUUGCUUUUCUAACCUUAGUUUUAUUUUUAAUAAUUCAGUUUUAUUGUUUCAAUAUGUACAGCAUUUGCAUAACUCAAAUUACAAAUAAUAUGUGAAACAUUUUAGCUUUUCACCCAUUCCCAUUUCUACCCAAUGGAUAACCAUUUUCAUUAGUUUCUAUAUGUCCUUUCUACUUUCGUAUUUGUUUUUUGUUUUCACAAAAGUAAGCAAAUUUGUGAUAUCUAUUCUCAUUCCUCCUUCUUUCUUAUGCACAUGUAGCAUAGCAUAUACACCCUUCUGCACUUUGAUUUUUUUUUUUUUUCAGUUAAAAAUACGUUCUGGAAAUCACUCCAUGACAGUUCAUGGACAUGUCACUCAUUCUUUUUUACAACUUCAUAAAAAUUCAUUUUGUGGAUAAACCACAGUUUAUCCUUUCACAUAAAUAGACAUGUAUUUGAAAGAUACAAAAAUAGACAGUAACUUGCUAUUACUAACAAUGUAACAUUGAAUAGCUUCCAUUUUGCCUACAUAUAGAGAGAUAUGUCUUCAAGAUGAAUUCCUAGAAGUGAGGUUGCUAGGUCAAAGGGUGAUUGCAUAUAUGGUUCUAACAGUUAUUGUUACAUUAAUCUCUUUAGAGGCUAUACCAUUUUGCACUCUCACCAGCAACAUAAUAGAGCACCUUUUGCUUUUCAGAAAAAAAUAUUUAAAUUAGAUGCCCAUGGAAGACUCAUCAAUAUGGGAGAUAAUUUCUGAUACAAUGUAUGCAUUUAUUUAUUUAUUUGUUUGUUUGUUUGUUUGAGAUGGAGUCUCUUUCUGUUGCCCAGACUGGAGUACAGUGGUGUGAUCUCACCUCACUGCAACCUCUGCCUCCUGGGUUCAAGCCAUUCUCCUGCCUCAGCCCCCCGAGUAGCUGGGAUUACAGCUGUGCACCACCAAGACUGGCUAAUUUUUGUAUUUUUAGUAGAGAUGGGGUUUUGCCAUGUUGGCCAGGCUGAUCUUGAACUCCUGACCUCAAGUGAUCCACCCACCUCAGCCUCCCGAAGCGCUGGGAUUACAGGCAUAAGUCAACACACCCUACCUGAAAUGUAUGCAUUUAAAGCAGCUGUAAAUUGCUAGUAGGUCAUACAUAACUGAAUAUAGAGGUGUGGAAAGAUAAGAAAGAAAAGCUGUAAAUAUGUGAAAGGAGACAAUGCCUGUGGAUGUGGUUAUUAUCCUAGGAGCUGACUUCCCACUCUUUUCCUGCCUUUUCACCUUCCCAGGCCAACUGCCUCUUAUCCUUUCAUCAAAACAAUGGAUUUGUGAGAUGGGGAGGUGCAUUUUACUCCUGAGCACCCCUUAGCUUGCCUGGCUUAUGAGUGCUGUCUUUGAUGUUCCCAAAGGUUAUAAAUCAUUUAUAAGAUCCCUUAAUCAGAACCAGUGUCUGAAUUCUUUACUUACCAAUUCAUCCCAUGAACAACUUUCUGGAAAUAGCUAGAGGGGCAGAGAGGAAUCAGGCUGCAUUCUUUUUUAAGUGAGUGCCAACUAUUCAGAUUAAAGAGUAUGGAACUCUCUCUUUCUAGUACAAUGACAUAGAGGAAAGAAGGUCUGGGUACACAGCUGCCCUCUUAGGCAAGUGCUGGGGAGUUUGUUUCCACAUUAUCUCUUAACCCUUCUCAGUUUUGUUCCCAGGGGAAGAGGACCAAGUUAGCUGAUAAAUGAGACAGAAAAAUUUCAUUGACCGGGCUGGGCAUUCAGGAUGUAGGGUUUUUGCUUUGUAACUCUAGUUUCCAUCACUCUUGGUCUUCCCAGAAGUUGCUUGAUUUCAGACAGAGUAUUUUCUUGUUGCUGAGAAAAGAAACUGAAAUCUUGCUCUGCCCCCAAUAGGAAUAAACAUUAUAGUCUGCAGUCAGAAACAAAGCACAUUGCACCUGGAAAGAACAAAAAUCAAAAUGAGUAUAAUGUUUUACUUGUCUUUUCAUAUGGCCUACUUCUCCCUUGCAGUAAAUGCCUCAAGUUGCAAAUUUCCAGGUUCUACAUUCACGAUUCAGGGUGGGCAGGGUAAUAAAAGUCUCUGCACAGUUAGAGACUCUGCAAGGCUAUACCAUUAAUUCCUUGGUCCUGAGAUAACACAUCCCGAUGUAUAAUCUCAAUUAAUUGACUUUCUUAGAAUCUCUCAUAUUCAUUCCCUGCUCUUCAUCGUUCUUUGCUAUAUCCCUUAUGGAAGCCACCAUCAUGUCUUACCUGGAUAUUGCAAUAGUCUUAAGAGUAGUUUCUUUCUAUUCUCCUUCUUGUUUAGCUAUCCACAUUCUUCCUCCAAACCAUCCAUUCAUAAUGCAGCCAGAAUGAUGUCUCCCCCAUUGAUGUGCAGACUCUGAGCCCCCUCCUCUCUGGAGCUUCCAGCUGCUACAGCUUCCUCAAGUUAGCAAGACCAUCUUGUUUUGCUGAUUUCAGCUUGCUGGGUUUCAGUACCGAUAGUCCCAUUUUGGAGGCUAGAAAGUUCAAGGUCGAGAGGCUGCAUCUGCUGAGGGCCUUUUUGCUGGUGAAAACAUUCUGGAGAGUCCUGAGGCAUUGCAGGGCAUCAGUCUCUUCCCCGUGAGGACUUUGCAUAAAAACUGUUGAAUUGAGUAAGACUUCACCUUUUUUUGUAACACAGAGCUCUGACGCAAAG
rnacentral:lncRNA from 1 species